rnacentral:rRNA from 1 species
UACGUAGGGUGCGAGCGUUUAAUCGGAAUUACUGGGCGUAAAGCGUGCGCAGGCGGUUUUGUAAGCCAGGUGUGAAAUCCCCGGGCUCAACCUGGGAAUGGCAUUUGGGACUGCAAGGCUGGAGUGCGGCAGAGGAGACUGGAAUUCCUGGUGUAGCAGUGAAAUGCGUAGAUAUCAGGAGGAACACCGAUGGCGAAGGCAGGUCUCUGGGCUGACACUGACGCUCAUGCACGAAAGCGUGGGGGAGCAAACAGG